rnacentral:snRNA from 1 species
AUACUUACCUGUCGUAGAGGGAUACCGUGAUCAUGCAGGCGGUUCCCCCAGGGCGAGGCUGCUCCAUUGAACUGCGGAGUGGUUGACCCUUGCAAUUAUUUAUAUUAAAAAAAAAUCACAAUAAAUAAUGUAUUCCUGAAUAAUUAUUUUCUUUAUC